rnacentral:rRNA from 1 species
UACAGAGGGUGCAAGCGUUGUUCGGAAUUAUUGGGCGUAAAGGGCGCGUAGGCGGCCUGUUAAGUCGAACGUGAAAUCCCCUGGGCUCAACCCAGGAACUGCGUCCGAUACUGGCAGGCUUGAAUUCGGGAGAGGGAUGCGGAAUUCCAGGUGUAGCGGUGAAAUGCGUAGAUAUCUGGAGGAACACCGGUGGCGAAGGCGGCAUCCUGGACCGAUAUUGACGCUGAGGCGCGAAAGCCAGGGGAGCAACGGGG